CGGUUGGGGAGGCCCAACUGCCUCUGGCCCCACACCUGCCCUGCCACCCCUGUCCCCGCAGCCCUGGGGGUCCCCACAAACAUCGGUGGUGCACACUGGGCACUGUUCGUGCUCCAGAAAUGCUGCUCGGCAACGCUUUGGUGGCUCCAGGCCCAAUUCCAGUGGGGCCCAGUUUUCACAGCUUCUGAACACAAUUCUGCUGAAGUUAAACACAGAUUUUGAUGGUCGAUCGCUCUGAAAACCAAACUCAGAACUGUCCUGUGUCCAAGUCAUUUAUGAAGAUGUUGAAGAGAACUGGGCUGAGGAUGGAGCCCUGCAGAACCCCACCAGUGACUGGUGCCAGCCUGAUGUCACCUCAUUCACUGUAACUCUUUGUGCCCAACCUGGGAGCCAGUUGCCCACUCACCACGUGAUGUGUUUAUCCAGCUGUGGUCUGGACAGUUUGUCCAGAAGGAAACUGCAAGACACAGAAUUGAAAACUUUGCCAAAAUCCAAAAAGAUUACAUCAACUGGCUUCCCCUGAUUAACCCCGUGAGUUGCCCUGUUGCAGGAGGCAAUCCGGUUCAACAAGAAGGA